rnacentral:rRNA from 1 species
CAGUAGCCGCGGUAAUACGGAGGGUGCAAGCGUUAAUCGGAAUUACUGGGCGUAAAGCGCACGCAGGCGGUUUGUUAAGUCAGAUGUGAAAUCCCCGGGCUCAACCUGGGAACUGCAUUUGAAACUGGCAAGCUAGAGUCUCGUAGAGGGGGGUAGAAUUCCAGGUGUAGCGGUGAAAUGCGUAGAGAUCUGGAGGAAUACCGGUGGCGAAGGCGGCCCCCUGGACGAAGACUGACGCUCAGGUGCGAAAGCGUGGGGAGCAAACAGGAUUAGAUACCCCGGUAGUCCCUGUCUCUUAUAC